CCUACGGGUGGCAGCAGUGAGGAAUAUUGGUCAAUGGCCGGAAGGCUGAACCAGCCAUGCCGCGUGAAGGUCAGUGCCCUAUGGGCGUUAAACUUCUUUUGUGCGGGAGCAAUAAUGGUCACGUGUGGCCAGACGAGAGUACCGUACGAAUAAGCAUCGGCUAACUCCGUGCCAGCAGCCGCGGUGAUACGGGGGAUGCAAGCGUUUUCCGGAUUUAUUGGGUUUAAAGGGUGCGUAGGCGGUGAGAUAAGUCAGCGGUGAAAUGCCCCGGCCCAACGGGGUGAAGUGCCAUUGAGACUGUCGUGCUGGAGUGCAGAUGCGGUAGGAGGAAUGUGUGGUGUAGCGGUGAAAUGCAUAGAUAUCACACAGAACACCGAUUGCGAAGGCAGCUCACGAAUCUGCGAUUGACGCUGAUGCACGAAAGCGUGGGUAGCAAACAGGAUUAGAUACCCUAGUAGUC
rnacentral:rRNA from 1 species